GACAGCUUGGCCGAGUGGUUAAGGCGAUGGACUUGAAAUCCAUUGGGGUAACCCUGUAAUGGGCUAAGGCUGCCA
rnacentral:tRNA from 1 species